rnacentral:rRNA from 1 species
UACAGAGGUCCCAAGCGUUGUUCGGAUUCAUUGGGCGUAAAGGGUGCGUAGGCGGCGCGGUAAGUCGGGUGUGAAAUCUCGGGGCUUAACUCCGAAACUGCAUUCGAUACUGCCGUGCUUGAGGACUGGAGAGGAGACUGGAAUUUACGGUGUAGCGGUGAAAUGCGUAGAUAUCGUAAGGAAGACCAGUGGCGAAGGCGACACACUGGCUCACUACUGACGCUGAGGCGCGAAAGCGUGGGGAGCAAACAGG